rnacentral:misc_RNA from 1 species
GAAAUGCGAUAAGUAAUGUGAAUUGCAGAAUUCAGUGAAUCAUCGAAUCAUUGAACGCACCGUGCGCUCCUUGGUAUUCCUUGGAGCAUGCCUGUUUGAGUAUCAUGAAAUCUUCAAAGUAAAUCUUUUGUUAACUCAAUUGGUUUCUACUUUGGUAUUGGAGGUCUUUGCAGCUUCACACCUGCUCCUCUUUGUUCAUUAGCUGGAUCUCAGUGUUAUGCUUGGUUCCACUCGGCGUGAUAAGUUAUCUAUCGCUGAGGACACUGUAAAAGGUGGCCAAGGUAAAUGCAGAUGAACCGCUUCUAAUAGUCCAUUGACUUGGACAAUACUUUUAUGAUCUGAUCUCAAAUCAGGUAGGACUACCCGCUGAACUUAAGC